GACAGAGGGGGCAAGCGUUGCUCGGAAUUACUGGGCGUAAAGGGCGCGUAGGCGGGAUGGCAAGUCGGUCGUGAAAUCCUUCGGCUCAACCGAAGAACGUCGAUCGAUACUGCUGUUCUAGAGGGUUGCAGAGGAGACUGGAAUUCCCGGUGUAGCGGUGAAAUGUGUAGAGAUCGGGAGGAACACCGGUGGCGAAGGCGGGUCUCUGGGCAACUCCUGACGCUGAGGCGCGAAAGCCAGGGGAGCAAAGCGGG
rnacentral:rRNA from 1 species